UUUCCAAGUACAAGGCCAUUCUCAGCACACACUGACAACAUGCUGGGGACCCUCUGCACUCUCAUCACUGCUCUAACAUGUGUGAGUGCUGUGACGGUGGUGACACAGAAGCCUCCUGUUGUGACGCUGAGGAAAGGAGAGACAGCCACCAUGCACUGUAACCUGGGGACUGUGACUGACAGUGCUGCUUUCUGGUAUAAACAGAUUCCAGGAGGAGUUCCUCAGCAUAUACUGAGGUUCCGUCAUACUUGGAGCUCUGUAGUCUAUGGCUCUGGUUUCUCCUCUCCAAAGUUCACAUCUAAUCAUCAGUCAAAAACAGAUUAUCGUUUGAUCAUCAACAAUGUGGAGGAGGGAGACUCAGCAGUCUAUUACUGUAAAACAUGGGACAGCUCAUUCAACGAGUUCGUAUCACAGUGA